rnacentral:sRNA from 1 species
UAUUUUCUUUUCUCCUGAGCUCCUGAUGUAAAGCUGCUGGGAGGAUGUAGGGGGAAAAUGUCUCACAGACAUCACCACAGACAAGUCUGAUGGAACAAUUCUUCAGCUGAGAUCUCCUCUGUGUGAAUCUAGCUUUGUAUCAAGUUAACAGCAAAAGCCAUCCCCGAAAUAAGACAACCUCAUAUGAUGAAAGUAUGUUGUGAUGCUCAUUGUCCACUUGACGUAAUCUGGAAUCACCUUAGAAGAGAGCUCCAGUGAAAGGUUUGUCUACAUUAUAUCCACCUAAAGCAUGUUUGUGAGGGGUGUCUUGAUUGUCUUAAUUGAUAGGGCAAAGCCUACCCUUCUUGUUUGGGCAUCGCCUUCUGGUGGCAGCCCACAUA